rnacentral:lncRNA from 1 species
CCAUCACCACUUUUUCCUCUGCUAGGGCAUCCAUUCUGAUACUUUUAAUUUUUCAUUUUUAUUCACAUUUUCCGCCAGUCUUUCAACAUUUCCACUCUUCAUCCAUCAAUGGCGGAACUGCAGCUUAAAUCAAUUUGCCUUUUUACUUUGAAUGGACGUCGGAAGGCAACAGGAUAAAGGCUUCAGCCUUCCCCUUGUCCGCCCUGAAGUCUGCCAUAUAAUUUGCAAUGCAAACAGAACUCUGCGCCAUACGUGGCGAAAAUUCAUUGGUGGAAAAUGCAGAUACAUUUUUCCACAAUAUCCCCAUUUGACGGCCGAUGACGCUGGGCUUCGUUGGUGCCAUUAAUAGCGACAAAUGAAAGCCGAAACAAUACAAAAACUUGGCUUUAUCAAUAAAGAAACGUUUUCCUUAAAGUUUUCUGUCGGAAUUAUUUAUUUUCAUAUUUUUUGGUACGAAAAUAGAUUUAUAUUCUAGCUUGAAUCAUUCUUGUCAUGAAAAUGUUCUGAUUCAAUGAAUUUCUUCGACAAAAUGCUAACAUAUUUAACCUUGGCUUUGAAUUAGAGACGGCAUUUUCCAUAGCUAUACUCGUAGAACUCCCAUCGCUCAGCUCGAAUGAUUGUAAAAUGUAAUUUAUAAAUUCCAAGAACUGUG